CACCUCGAUGUCGGCUCAUCACAUCCUGGGGCUGAAGUAGGUCCCAAGGGUAUGGCUGUUCGCCAUUUAAAGUGGUACGCGAGCUGGGUUUAGAACGUCGUGAGACAGUUCGGUCCCUAUCUGCCGUGGGCGCUGGAGAAUUGAGGGGGGCUGCUCCUAGUACGAGAGGACCGGAGUGGACGCAUCACUGGUGUUCGGGUUGUCAUGCCAAUGGCACUGCCCGGUAGCUAAAUGCGGAAGAGAUAAGUGCUGAAAGCAUCUAAGCACGAAACUUGCCCCGAGAUGAGUUCUCCCUGACUCCUUGAGAGUCCUGAAGGAACGUUGAAGACGACGACGUUGAUAGGCCGGGUGUGUAAGCGCAGCGAUGCGUUGAGCUAACCGGUACUAAUGAACCGUGAGGCUUAACCUUACAACGCCGAAG
rnacentral:rRNA from 1 species